rnacentral:tRNA from 1 species
GGCCGACCCGACCGAGGACGUCAGCGGCGCCGACGCCGCCGCGAAGAUGGCGAUCCUCGCCCGGCUCGCGUUCGACACCCGGGUCGGCCUC